AUUGAACGCUGGCGGCAGGCCUAACACAUGCAAGUCGAGCGAGUGGCGGACGGGUGAGUAAUGUAUGGGGAUCUGCCCGAUCGAGGGGGAUAACUACUGGAAACGGUAGCUAAUACCGCAUACUAUCGGAUGAACCCAUAUGGGAUUAGCUAGUAGGUGGGGUAAAGGCUCACCUAGGCGACGAUCGCUCGCUGGUCUGAGCGGAUGAUCAGCCACACUGGGACUGAGACACGGUCCAGACUCCUACGGGAGGCAGCAGUGGGGAAUAUUGCACAAUGGGCGCAAGCCUGAUGCAGCCAUGCCGCGUGUAUGAAGAAGGCCUUAGGGUUGUAAAGUACUUUCAGCGGGGAGGCGUUACCCGCAGAAGAAGCACCGGCUAACUCCGUGCCAGCAGCCGCGGUAAUUC
rnacentral:rRNA from 1 species